UCGGCCAGCAUGGCCGACACUCGCUGGCCUCCCCGGAUCAUGAAGCUGAUGUUGUUGCUGCUGAAAGCUUGGAGAACGGCUGGAAUGUGCUAAAAUGGAGAGAACGUGACGUGAAAAAGUUUCUGUGGAGUUCAGUUUGUGUGUGUGUGUGUGUGUGUGUCUGUGUGUGUGAGUGUGUACCUUAUCGACAGCCAUGCGGUUCUGGCCUGCUGUGCUGUCUCCUGAGAGGAUGUAGAGGUCAGCAGUGGUGGGGAGGCCAGCUUUCACCACUGUCACCAGAGACUCCUGAGGUAUGCCUGUGGACUGAGGUCAGGGGUCAGAGGUCAGAUUCUGCGCAGCUGAACUGGAUCAAACGAAAGUUUUUACCUUGGACACAAUCUUUGAGACCACCUGGCCGAUGUCGUCCCUCCACUCUGGGAUGUUGGGGUUGUAGCGGUCCAGGUUUCUGCUGAAGCUCACAGGGAGGACGUGGAAUUUAUCUGGAGCAAUAAAACAAACCCGAAGUCGAAGACGGAAACAAGUUCUUCAUCACGUCACACUCAAAUGGAGAUGCUUGUUCCCCCUGAAUAAAGAUGGUUUCUGGUACAAUUAC